GAGAUGAAAACGAAUUAUUAUUUUUUUUUUUUUUAUAAGCAAAAGAUUCCAUAUUUCGAGGGACGAAGAAGAAGAAGAAGAAGCUCAGUCGGCGGCCGGAUUAAUUUCUCCAUCUCUCUCUCCUUCUCUCUGUUCCUAUCCCGGCGAAUUCAUAUCAAAAUUGCCCCAAAAUUCAAACUUUCCGGUGAAAUUAUUUUAGGAAACCAAAGUGACUUUUUAGCUCGAAAAAUUGGGUAUUUGAUGGCGGCGAGCGCGAACCCGUCGGGGAACAAUCAGGAAGGUUCGUCGGCUACACAGAAGGUAUCGUCUUCUUCAGCGGCGGCUACGAAUGGCGCAGCUGUGAAUUCGGUCGAUAAUGGUGGCAACGCAGGCGUUGGCGCGUUGAGGCAUAAUCCUGGGAUCUCUACCGAUUGGACUCAUGAGGAACAAUCUCUAUUGGAAGAUUUGCUCGUCAAGUACGCGACAGAACCUUCGGUUUUUCGAUAUGCGAAGAUUGCGAUGAAAAUGAAGGAUAAGACUGUUCGAGAUGUUGCGCUGCGCUGUCGAUGGAUGACUAAAAAGGAAAACGGAAAGCGUAGGAAAGAAGACCAUUCGUCGAGGAAAAGCAAAGAUAAGAAAGAAAAAGCUACAGAUUCUUCAGCCAAGUCCUCAUCUCAUUUGAAUGUGCAUCCUAAUGGUCCUUCUUACGCUCCGCCUAUGAUGCCUAUCGAUACUGAUGAUGGUAUUUCGUAUAAAGGUUUGUCCAAGCAUCUAGGUUUUUUUCAUUUAAAGGCUAAAUCUUCUAGAUUGAAUAAGAUGGAGCAUAAGUGUUUCGGCUUUUAUUGCAGCUAUUGGUGGUGUGAGUGGAGAUCUUCUCGAGCAAAAUGCUCAAAUGUUCAAUCAAGUUUCAUCAAAUUUCUCAGCCUUCCAGCUACAUGAGAAUGUCAAUAUCUUGUGCAAAGCUCGGGACAAUAUCCUCGCAAUCUUGAACGACUUGAAUGACAUGCCAGAAGUUAUGAAGCAGAUGCCACCUCUUCCGGUGAAGGUGAAUGAGGAGCUGGCAAAUUCGAUUCUCCCUCGCCCAUCCCAUCAAAGGAAGUCAUGAUCGAGUCGACCUAUGGUUGGUUCUGACCAAGGAGUCUCUUUAAUCCGGGAUCAAUGAAGAAAGGAAUAAAUCGCGGGAUAGAGAGAGAGCUCCAGUCGUACUGGUUGAUAGAAUGAGGGGUUUCCCCUGACUCAUAGAGUUAUAGUCUCUUUUACAAUUUCUGUCAGUCUCUGAAUGUUUUAGCAAAUGGUUAAUUGAUACAUGAGUAGGGUUGCGUAUCGUUUGUUUAGGAUGUGAAUAGAUUUCAAUUGGUAUGGUAUAAGUCUCUCUGUAUAAAAUUGGUUUCAAGCUGAAAGGUUUGAUGAGAUUUAGAAGGUCCUAU